AGUUUAUCACUUUUGAUGAAGACCCCUAAUAUAAAAAUAAAAAUUUGUUAAUAUGUGGCGGUCUUAUAAUUAUGGAACGCAGUGUAGUAAUGUCUUUACUAAUGGGCAAA